rnacentral:rRNA from 1 species
GUAGGUGGCAAGCGUUGUCCGGAAUUAUUGGGCGUAAAGCGCGCGCAGGCGGUUCUUUAGGUCUGAUGUGAAAGCCCACGGCUCAACCGUGGAGGGUCAUUGGAAACUGGAGAACUUGAGUACAGAAGAGGAAAGCGGAAUUCCACGUGUAGCGGUGAAAUGCGUAGAGAUGUGGAGGAACACCAGUGGCGAAGGCGGCUUUCUGGUCUGUAACUGACGCUGAGGCGCGAAAGCGUGGGGAGCAAACAGGGAUUAGAUACCCUGGUAGUCCACGCCGUAAACGAUGAGUGCUAAGUGUUAGGGGGGUUUCCGCCCCCUUAGUGCUGCAGCUAACGCAUUAAGCACUCCGCCUGGGAGUACGGCCGCAAGGCUG